AUGUGUAUAUAUGUGUGUAUAUGUAUGUAUAUGUAUAUAUAUAAAGCAUGGCCCUGGACUGGCAGCCCAGCAUCUUCCCUGAGCUUGCUGGAAACGCAGACUCUCAGGCCCCAUCCCAGACCUGCUGCCUGGGAAUCAUCUGAAAAAGUUCCCCAAAUGAUUCUGAUGCACACCCCCCAGAGAAACAGCUAAAAGGGACUGCAUCCCUCUGAGCUGCUUCUGGGAAAAUUUGGGGGAAACAGCGGUGUUCCCCUGUAGCUAUGCUCCCCAGGAGAAGAGGAGCCCUGGAGGGGCUGUGUCCAAGAAGUGGGGCAGGGCCUGCUCUCAGCCAUGACAGACCGCACGUGGAAGAGACACAACCUCCCUGAGCCCACACCAACCUCCCCGCGCUUCUCAAACACCUGCAGUUACUAUUUCAAGGCAGAUGAAAUGAAUACCAUCCCGGGAUGCUGGCAUCACUGGGACACCAGCUGGCCUGGAGAGUGGGAGUUGACCAAAAUGUCACUUCUUGGCUGGGUCAUUAGGUCCUAAGACCCUCAACUGCCCACCUUUGCACCUCCAUCUCUCCCAAGGCGCAGGGGGAGGUCACAGAGCUGGGACACGUGGAGUGGGCCUACACCCAG
rnacentral:lncRNA from 1 species